CCAUUAAAGUGUUGCAAAAUAGAAGUAACUUGAAAUACAGCAGUUUAGCAAUUUUACUAGUGCCAGUCAGGGACUAUUCAAUAGUCAACCUGCCAGAUCCAAGUGACAAUAAGCAUGUAAAGAUGAUGACUUACAUGUGUAUCCAGUCGUCCUAACCAUUAUACGUUCUGUAAGACAAAGAACGAUGUUUUAUCCUUUGGCACUUAAUAAAUAUUUGUCAAAUAAAUGAAUGAUUAAGUAAAUGCAUGAAUAAAAUAUGCAGCCAAUUAUGCAUAUCAUUUUGAUUCCCAUUCUUUAACAAAUAUAAUUCUACUUGUACCUAAAUUGCCAAAUAAUUGCCUUAUUUUACUACCUGGCUAGUAGAACACUAGCUAUAGAAAUACUCUUACUUGAAAUUGAUUUUUCGGCCAAUUGUCAAUUUUAUUAUAUUACUCCAUCUGUAUUAGUUAAUGCCAUUGAAAUAAAUGCAAGUCACAGAGCCAGAUGAAAUGAAAUGUGGGUAAAUUGAGUAGCAAUAUACCUUACCUAAUUAUUACACUAAAAGUAAAAAAAAAGUGCCGUAAAAACUGUUUUUAUAGCUGUGAAGACUAUAGCUAAAUAUUUUUUACUUUGUAAUUUACAUUCAUCACCUGUAACAGAGGUGAUAGGAAAUGUAGGAAAAUAAUUCAUUUUUCAAGUGACAAAAUCAUCCUCCUAGCCCCAGAAAACAAAUAGGAGGUCAGUUUUCCUACUCUGUGGACUAACUUGCCUCCCAGUGGGCAUGGGAACCAGGGAGCCAGUUGAAUCCUAUCCAAAUAAACAGUGUAUCAGAAGACUUAGUGAAUAAGUUAGAUUUUCAGAGAGGAAUAAUGUUGAGAUGCUAUUUUGCUUUCCCUAGUUGGAUCUGCCCUACAUGGAUAAGCCAGCAUCUCUCUUUUUCCAGAACAGGCCUUUCCAGGAACAAAAUAUUAAAGGGUGAAAAACUGCCAAAUAUAAUUGUUUCUUUACUUCAGGUUUUGCUCUAACAGGAGUAUCCCAGAGAAAAAGUUAGAGAACUCGCUCAUCUGUGAAGCCUGUACUUUCCCUGGGGAAGCUGUUCUUAUCACUCAGCAGGAAGAACCAUUUCAAAAAUCACCAUGAAGUAACCAGGGAAGUGGCCUGUAGCAUCCAGCCAAGCUGGCUCACUGCCUACACCCCAGAUUAACUCUCUAAGACAUCUACAUAUGAACAAAGGUCUCAGAAAGAUCUCAAAGAACUUUUACAGCAAGUGACCUGGCUUUUACCACAUUGUUGCUGGGUGAAAAAUGUGUCUCAAGCACAAAUAAAAAUCUCUUUGCUGGAGAGUUGCA
rnacentral:lncRNA from 1 species